GGAUCGCGUCGGAUAUUGGGCGUAAGAGCUCGUAGGCGGUCUGUCGCGUCGGCUGUGAAAACUCGGGGCUCAACCCCGAGCCUGCAGUCGAUACGGGCAGACUAGAGUGCUGUAGGGGAGACUGGAAUUCCUGGUGUAGCGGUGAAAUGCGCAGAUAUCAGGAGGAACACCGGUGGCGAAGGCGGGUCUCUGGGCAGUAACUGACGCUGAGGAGCGAAAGCGUGGGGAGCGAACAGGAUUAGAUACCCUGGUAGUCCACGCCGUAAACGGUGGGUGCUAGGUGUAGGGGGUAUUCCACGCCCUCUGUGCCGCAGCUAACGCAUUAAGCACCCCGCCUGGGGAGUACGGCCGCAAGGCUAAAACUCAAAGGAAUUGACGGGGGCCCGCACAAGCAGCGGAGCAUGUGGCUUAAUUCGACGCAACGCGAAGAACCUUACCAAGGCUUGACAUACACCGAAAACUCGUAGAGAUACGGGGUCCGCAAGGGCGGUGUACAGGUGGUGCAUGGUUGUCGUCAGCUCGUGUCGUGAGAUGUUGGGUUAAGUCCCGCAACGAGCGCAACCCUCGUUCUAUGUUGCCAGCGCGUUAUGGCGGGGACUCAUAGGAGACUGCCGGGGUCAACUCGGAGGAAGGUGGGGACGACGUCAAAUCAUCAUGCCCCUUAUGUCUUGGGCUGCACACAUGCUACAAUGGCCGGUACAAAGGGCUGCUAAACCGCGAGGUGGAGCGAAUCCCAAAAAGCCGGUCUCAGUUCGGAUUGGGGUCUGCAACUCGACCCCAUGAAGUCGGAGUUGCUAGUAAUCGCAGAUCAGCAACGCUGCGGUGAAUACGUUCCCGGGCCUUGUACACACCGCCCGUCACGUCACGAAAGUCGGUAACACCCGAAGCCAGUGGCCCAACUCGCAAGAGG
rnacentral:rRNA from 1 species